UCCCUGGUGGCUCAGAUGGUAAAGCAUCUGCCUACAAUGCAGGAGACCUGGGUUCGAUCCCUGGGUCGGGAA
rnacentral:tRNA from 1 species